UGAGGAACAUGACCUUCGGCGGGGGAGUAGCCGGCCCAACGGCCGGGUAAUACCGCGUACGACCACUUUGGGACAUCCCUGGGUGGUGAAAGCAGCAAUGCACCGAUGGAGGAUCUCGCGGCCUAUCAGCUUGUUGGUGAGGUCACGGCUCACCAAGGCGACGACGGGUANCUGGUCUGAGAGGAUGAUCAGCCACUAGUUGGGACUGAGACNCGGCCCAGACCUUGACCGGGGAGG
rnacentral:rRNA from 1 species